UUGAGAGGCAUCUCUUGAAUAUCAAAGGUGAGCCAGUACAGGAUGGACCCGCGUCUGAUUAGCUAGUUGGUAAGGUAACGGCUUACCAAGGCGACGAUCAGUAGCCGACCUGAGAGGGUGAUCGGCCACAUUGGAACUGAGACACGGUCCAAACUCCUACGGGAGGCAGCAGUGGGGAAUAUUGCACAAUGGGCGAAAGCCUGAUGCAGCAACGCCGCGUGAGUGAUGAAGGCCUUCGGGUCGUAAAACUCUGUCCUCAAGGAAGAUAAUGACGGUACUUGAGGAGGAAGCCCCGGCUAACUACGUGCCAGCAGCCGCGGUAAUACGUAGGGGGCUAGCGUUAUCCGGAUUUACUGGGCGUAAAGGGUGCGUAGGCGGUCUUUCAAGUCAGGAGUGAAAGGCUACGGCUCAACCGUAGUAAGCUCUUGAAACUGGGAGACUUGAGUGCAGGAGAGGAGAGUGGAAUUCCUAGUGUAGCGGUGAAAUGCGUAGAUAUUAGGAGGAACACCAGUUGCGAAGGCGGCUCUCUGGACUGUAACUGACGCUGAGGCACGAAAGCGUGGGGAGCAAACAGGAUUAGAUACCCUGGUAGUCCACGCUGUAAACGAUGAGUAC
rnacentral:rRNA from 1 species